CCAUUUUUUUUUUUGGAGUCCGGGCUCGUUUUUUUGGGCGGUUUUGGUGCUGAUCCGCCGUGUUUUGGCGCAGGUUCUCCACCAGCUUCGCCUAUUACGGGCUGGCCAUGGACCUGCAGGGCUUCGGGUUCAACGUGUACCUGAGCCAGGUGGUGUUCGGCGCCGUGGACAUCCCGGCCAAGCUCCUCUCCGUGCUCGUCAUCUCCGGGCUCGGGCGGCGCCUGGCGCAGGGCGGGGCCCUGGCGCUCGCCGGGCUCUGCAUCCUCGCCAACAUCUUCGUGCCCGGCGAGCUGCCGGCGCUCCGCAUGGCUUUCGCCGUCGUCGGCAAAGGCGCCUUGGCCGCCUCCUUCAACUGCGCCUACAUCUUCACCGGGGAGCUCUUCCCCACCGUCAUCAGCCCCUCAUUAACCCAACUCUCAUUAACCCAACUCUCAUCAAUCCAUCCUCCAUCAACCCAACCUCAACUCAACCAUCCAUGCACCAACCUCCAUCAACCCAAUCUCAUUAACACAACCCUUCAUUAGCCCAGCCCCUCAUUAACCCAACUCUCAUUAACCCAACCUCAACUCGACCAUCCAUGCACCAACCUCCAUCAACCCAACCUCCAUUGACCCAACUCUCAUCAACUCAACCUUCCAUUGACCCAACUCUCAUCAACCCAACCUCCAUCAACCCAACCCGUCAUCAACGCAAUCUCUCAUUAACCCAACUCUCAUUAACCCAGCCCCUCAUUAACCCAACUCUCAUUAACCCAACUUCCAUUAACCUAACCUCAAACUCCACCAACCUCAACUCAACUUCAAUGCGCCAACUUCCAUCAACCAAACCUCCAUCAACUCAACCUGUUAACCCUUCUCAUUAACCCCUCUCAUUAACCCCUCUCGUUAACCCUUCUCAUUAACCCUUCUCAUUAACCCCUCUCGUUAACCCCUCUCAUUAACCCUUCUCAUUAACCCCUCUCAUUAACCCCUCUCGUUAACCCCUCUUGUUAAUCCCUCUCAUUAACCCCUCUUGUUAACCCCUC
rnacentral:lncRNA from 12 species